AGAAAUACACAGAGAGCAGGACUUGGUAACAGACUUUCCUCUCUGAAGACAAGUAAACUGCAUAUUAAAGCGGACUGUGACCUCAUAGACUGAUGAAAUUUGAAACACUUAAGCUACAUAUGCUGCUUCUGGGUUAUGUGUUCUGUGUCAUAUCUUAGAAGAUCCUCCCAGGAAGAAUGGUGACAACUGUAUUUACUGUGUGAUCGUCUGGGCCUGGCACCUUUCUAAGCCAUUUCAUGUACUAACUCAUGAACAACAAUCCCACAAGGUUGGUACUAUUAUUGUCCUCAUAUUGUACAGGAGACAAUGAAGGCAUAAGGGAUUAAGAAAUUUGCCCUCUGUCACGGCUGAGAAUGAGCAGAUCCAGGAUUGACUGUGGAGGCAUUGGACUUCACCACUAUACUAUUCUGUCUGUGAUUAAAAAGAAUGGUCUAUUAAUUUGAUCCUGCAUGUUCAUACUGGAGGAACUAAAGUGAAAACUGUUUAGACCUACAUCAGUACCAGUGACGUGUGCCUCACCAACUGAGACCUCCUUUACAGUUAAUCUUUGGGUACUUUAAGAGUUUCUCCUAGUAAGGUUUCCAUGGUGCACCCUCAGGAGAAUUUCAGGGAGCCUUAGAAAACACUAGUUUGUAAGUCAAGGCCCUGGAUCACUUGCCUCCUGGUGACAGAAUUCCCUUCUUAACAAUCUAGACUGUGUGUCAGCCAAAAAUAUGCUUAGGCCUGGGAGGUAGGGAAAGUCACAGAGACCAGGAGACACUAGACAAGAAGAAAUGGGACUGUGGUCCAGGUGGGUCCUUAGGAAGAAUCGAGAGUAGGUUUACAUUGGGUAGAAAUGUUAUUAAAUAGGGAAAGAAACAGUAUUGUACAUAUCCUAUUCUUAAGGAGCUCUAGAAUUCUACACUGAGCUGCCAGAUGAUGAUUGUGAGUUUGUUUUUGUUGUAUUUAUUUGUUUUUGUUCAUGAGUAAUCCAUAACAUUGCCUUCAUGUAUUCUGAAAAUGAUUGGGAACUGAGUCCUAGUCGUUUUCUCUUUACCUGUCAUGAGUGGGGAGAGUUGGGGAAGCCUGACUCAUAAGAAGACUUGCCAAGAAGAAAGUCGAGUUAAUGUGUAAUAAUUUUGCUACGGGCAGAUUGAUAAAACAACAACAACAACAAUAAGAUCUCAAUAUCCUAACUGUAGACAUUCUAGGUGACCUUCAAAGGAGUCUAGUGGGCGAUUUAAGACUAGUUGCUUAUUUGCUAACAUAUGUCUAAGGAAUAUGUUCUAUGGUGGUUUCUUCUUGGCAGGAACUCCAAUCUCCUUCCUUCUCUUGAACACUGGGAUGUGUUUGCAUUGCUUGUCUUGUGAUGGUGACCAUAUAAAGCAGAGGCCAGUGCUUUAGCCUCUGUGUUGCAGCCGCUUAUCCCUCCUAAAAAGCUGGGAGGUUUUGUGAUGUGAGAAGAUGAUCCUGGCUCAUCGGUUGGAGCCAGACAUGUUAGACUAGAAUGGAGACAAAAGGAACAUCUAGAGUCUAUUCCAUGUGAAUGUUUGAGGGUUGAGGGUCUGGGGCUAACUAGAGAAAGAAACGUGCCUAAUAUCCCUGGCUUAGAAUCUGGACUGCCUUCAUGGUUAGCCCCUUUGGACCAAGCUUUUAGUUGGCCUGGACUCCAGAGGCUGCCAAGCCCAAAAGCCUGGGGCUGCCUCUUCUGGAGAGAGAGCAGAAGAUAGAAAUAGUGGGAGGGGGAAAAGGUACCUUUUUUUAAUAUACCAGAGCACUCUGUUCUUCUUAAUAAAGUCUGUCCUCCGGAGAAACUAGUUAACCAGAGCCUAAUCUACUGAGGUUUUAUCAGAGCCUAAUUGACCUUAGGGAAGAAAAGUGUUCAACUCCAUCUAGCUCUAGCUUUCCACAUGGGAGCAGAACAAUACCCAACUCCAGCCCACUCUAGCUAUCCUGUCCCACCUAAGAAGGGGAAAAAACAUCCUGAGAAUCACUUGGAAUAUUCACAUUCCAGAGGCAUAGGUUCACUAAAAGACAGGGACCAAAUCAUAGGACGAUAUAGUACAUUUCUCUUCCCCCCAUACUUCACCAUUACAUUACUAAAGCGCUAUUUACAGGAGUUCCUCUUACCCACUACAUCAUGUCUGGCUAUCGAGAAAAAAUUAUAAAGCAUGCCAAAAGGUGAAUAACACAAUAUCUACAGAGCAAGCAUCAGUUCCAGACAUGGCAGGGAUAUGGGAAUUAUCAGAUAAAUAAUUUAAAGCAACUAUGAUUAAUGUGCUAAGGGCUGUAAAUGGAUAAAGUGGACAACAUGUCAGAACAGAUGGGCGAUGUAAGCAGGAAGAUGGAGAUCCUAAGAGAGAACAAAUAAUAAAUGCUGGAGAUAAAAAACACUGUAAUGGAAAUGAAGAAUGCCUUUGAUGAGCUUAUCAGUAGAUUGGACACAGCUGAGGGAAGAGUCUCUGCGCUUGAGAAGAUCUCAAUGUAAACCUCCAAAACUGGAAAACAAAAAGAACAAAGACUGAAAAAAACAGAACAGAAUAUUCACAGACUGUGAGAGAACUACAAAAGGUGUAACAUACAGGCAAUAGGAAUACCAGAAGGAGAAGAGAAAAAGGAACAGGAUAAAUAUUUGAAACAAUAAUAACAACUGAGAAUUUUACCAAAAAAAUUGUUAGACACAAAAGCUCAGAGAACACCAAGCACGAUAAAUGCCAAAAACAACAAAAAAAAACAACAAAACAAACAAAAAACCCUAUGCCUAGGCAUAUUAUUUUCCAAUUACAGAAAACCAAAGAUAAAGAAAAAGUCCAGAAGGAAGCCAGAGGAAAAGAACACCUUACCUAUAGAGGAGCAAAGAGAAGGAUUACCUCUGAUUUCUCAGAAACCAUACAAGCAAGAAGAGACUGGAGUGAAAUACUUAAAGAGUUGAGAAAAGCCUCCCAUCAACAAGAAUUCUGUACCUUAUGAAACUGUCCUUCAAAAGUGAAGGAGCAAUAAAUACUUUCUUAGAUAAACAAAAAUUGAGGGAAUUUGUUACUGGUAGACCUGCAUUGUACUAGAUGUUAAAAGUAGUUUCUUGACGGGUGCGGUGGCUCAUGCCUGUAAUCCCAGCAUUUUGGGAGGCUGAGGCAGGUGGAUCACCUGAGAUCAGGAGUUCGAGACCAGCCUGAUCAAUAUGGAGAAACCCCGUCUCUGCUAAAAAUACAAAAAUUAGCCGGGUGUGGUGGUGCGUGCCUGUGAUCCCAGCUACUCGGAAGGCUGAGACAGGAGAAUCGCUUGAACCCGGGAGGCAGAGGUUGCAGUGAGCCGAGAUCGCGCCAUUGCACUCCAGCCUGGGCAACAGAGCAAGACUCCGUCUCAAAAAAAAA
rnacentral:lncRNA from 1 species